rnacentral:lncRNA from 1 species
CUAGUGCUUUCUUGUUGCCCUUCUGCCUUGCACUUAAGAUUGUGGUUAUAUCGAUUCGCUAAGUAAGGACGGUAAGGUGUUAGAACAGGGCCUAUCUUAGUGUUGGUUGUGUUUCUUGCUUUCCAUAGGAUUCUAGUUGUGGGAAUGCUCCAACUAGACUCGGUAUUUAAAGAUGAGAUUUCCUAAUAAGGUUUGCCUCGGAAAAUUGUAAGGACCUAGAAGGGGACAGUUAGUGCUUUCUUGUUGCCCUUCUACCUUGUACUAAGAUUUUGGUUAUAUUGAUUCACUAAAACUGUAAGGUCCUAGAAGGGGACUAGUUAGUGCUUGGUUGUUG